rnacentral:rRNA from 1 species
CCUACGGGAGGCAGCAGUAAGGAAUAUUGGUCAAUGGAGGCAACUCUGAACCAGCCAUGCCGCGUGCAGGAAGAAGGCCCUAUGGGUCGUAAACUGCUUUUGUACCAGAGAAAACCCGAGUACGUGUACUCGGUUGAUAGUAUGGUAAGAAUAAGCAUCGGCUAACUUCGUGCCAGCAGCCGCGGUAAGACGAAGGAUGCAAGCGUUAUCCGGAUUCAUUGGGUUUAAAAGGGUGCGUAGGCGGACUGAUAAGUCAGUGGUGAAAUCUCUCGGCUUAACCGAGAAACUGCCAUUGAUACUGUUAGUCUAGAGUAUAGAUGACGUUGGCGGAAUAUGACAUGUAGUGGUGAAAUACUUAGAUAUGUCAUAGAACACCGAUUGCGAAGGCAGCUAACGAAACUAUAACUGACGCUGAGGCACGAAAGUGCGGGGAUCAAACAGGAUUAGAUACCCUGGUAGUCCGCACCGUAAACGAUGAUUACUCGUUGUUAGGCAAUAUGACCGUCAGCGACCAAGCGAAAGCGAUAAGUAAUCCACCUGGGGAGUACGCCGGNAACGGUUGAAACUCGAAAGGAAUUGACCGGNNGAGAGNGCGAGACGACGACGAGGGAGGAGG